rnacentral:rRNA from 1 species
CACGUAGGGUGCGAGCGUUGUCCGGAAUUAUUGGGCGUAAAGAGCUCGUAGGCGGUGUGUCGCGUCGGCCGUGAAAACCUGGGGCUCAACCCCGGGCCUGCAGCCGAUACGGGCAAGCUAGAAUUCGGUAGGGGAGACUGGAAUUCCUGGUGUAGCGGUGGAAUGCGCAGAUAUCAGGAGGAACACCGGUGGCGAAGGCGGGUCUCUGGGCCGAUACUGACGCUGAGGAGCGAAAGCGUGGGGAGCGAACAGG